UACGUAGGGGGCAAGCGUUAUCCGGAUUUACUGGGUGUAAAGGGAGCGUAGGUGGUGCGGUAAGUCAGAUGUGAAAGCCCGGGGCUCAACCCCGGUACUGCAUUUGAAACUAUCGCACUGGAGUGCAGGAGAGGCAAGUGGAAUUCCUAGUGUAGCGGUGAAAUGCGUAGAUAUUAGGAGGAACACCAGUGGCGAAGGCGGCUUGCUGGACUGUAACUGACACUGAGGCUCGAAAGCGUGGGGAGCAAACAGG
rnacentral:rRNA from 1 species